AGCGAACGCUGGCGGCAGGCUUAACACAUGCAAGUCGAACGGGCGUAGCAAUACGUCAGUGGCAGACGGGUGAGUAACGCGUGGGAACGUACCUUUUGGUUCGGAACAACCCAGGGAAACUUGGGCUAAUACCGGAUAAGCCCUUACGGGGAAAGAUUUAUCGCCGAAAGAUCGGCCCGCGUCUGAUUAGCUAGUUGGUGAGGUAACGGCUCACCAAGGCAACGAUCAGUAGCUGGUCUGAGAGGAUGAUCAGCCACAUUGGGACUGAGACACGGCCCAAACUCCUACGGGAGGCAGCAGUGGGGAAUAUUGGACAAUGGGCGCAAGCCUGAUCCAGCCAUGCCGCGUGAGUGAUGAAGGCCCUAGGGUUGUAAAGCUCUUUUGUGCGGGAAGAUAAUGACGGUACCGCAAGAAUAAGCCCCCGGCUAACUUCGUGCCAGCCGCCGCGGU
rnacentral:rRNA from 1 species